rnacentral:rRNA from 1 species
AGUGAACGCUGGCGGUAGGCCUAACACAUGCAAGUCGAACGGCGGCACAGUAAGAGCUUGCUCUUACGGGUGGCGAGUGGCGGACGGGUGAGGAAUACAUCGGAAUCUACUUUUUCGUGGGGGAUAACGUAGGGAAACUUACGCUAAUACCGCAUACGACCUACGGGUGAAAGCAGGGGAUCUUCGGACCUUGCGCGAUUGAAUGAGCCGAUGUCGGAUUAGCUAGUUGGCGGGGUAAAGGCCCACCAAGGCGACGAUCCGUAGCUGGUCUGAGAGGAUGAUCAGCCACACUGGAACUGAGACACGGUCCAGACUCCUACGGGAGGCAGCAGUGGGGAAUAUUGGACAAUGGGCGCAAGCCUGAUCCAGCCAUACCGCGUGGGUGAAGAAGGCCUUCGGGUUGUAAAGCCCUUUUGUUGGGAAAGAAAAGAAGCAGGUUAAUACCCCGCUGUUCUGACGGUACCCAAAGAAUAAGCACCGGCUAACUUCGUG